rnacentral:rRNA from 1 species
UAGCGAAAUUCCUUGUCGGGUAAGUUCCGACCUGCACGAAUGGCAUAAUGAUGGCCAGGCUGUCUCCACCCGAGACUCAGUGAAAUUGAAAUCGCCGUGAAGAUGCGGUGUACCCGCGGCUAGACGGAAAGACCCCGUGAACCUUUACUAUAGCUUGACACUGAACAUUGAAUUUUGAUGUGUAGGAUAGGUGGGAGACUUUGAAGCAGUCACGCCAGUGAUUGUGGAGUCGUCCUUGAAAUACCACCCUUUAACGUUUGAUGUUCUAACGAAGAUUACGAAACGUGGUCUCGGACAGUGUCUGGUGGGUAGUUUGACUGGGGCGGUCUCCUCCCAAAGAGUAACGGAGGAGCACGAAGGUUUGCUAAUGACGGUCGGACAUCGUCAGGUUAGUGCAAUGGUAUAAGCAAGCUUAACUGCGAGACAGACAAGUCGAGCAGGUACGAAAGUAGGUCAUAGUGAUCCGGUGGUUCUGAAUGGAAGGGCCAUCGCUCAACGGAUAAAAGGUACUCCGGGGAUAACAGGCUGAUACCGCCCAAGAGUUCAUAUCGACGGCGGUGUUUGGCACCUCGAUGUCGGCUCAUCACAUCCUGGGGCUGAAGUAGGUCCCAAGGGUAUGGCUGUUCGCCAUUUAAAGUGGUACGCGAGCUGGGUUUAGAACGUCGUGAGACAGUUCGGUCCCUAUCUGCCGUGGGCGUUGGAGAAUUGAUUGGGGCUGCUCCUAGUACGAGAGGACCGGAGUGGACGCACCACUGGUGUUCCGGUUGUGUCGCCAGACGCAUUGCCGGGUAGCUAAGUGCGGAAGAGAUAAGUGCUGAAAGCAUCUAAGCACGAAACUUGCCAAGAGAUGAGUUCUCCCAGAUUACAAAUCUGUAAGGGUUGUUUAAGACUAAGACGUAGAUAGGCAUGGUGUGUAAGCGGUGCGAGCCGUUGAGCUAACAUGUACUAAUUGCCCGAGAGGCUUAACUAU